rnacentral:rRNA from 1 species
AGCGAACGCUGGCGGCAUGCUUAACACAUGCAAGUCGCACGGGCGGGGGCAACUCCGUCAGUGGCGGACGGGUGAGUAACGCGUAGGAAUCUAUCCUUGAAGUGGGGGACAACCGUGGGAAACUACGGCUAAUACCGCAUGAUGCCUGAGGGACCAAAGACGAAAGUCGUUUGAGGAGGAGCCUGCGUCUGAUUAGGUAGUUGGUGGGGUAAAGGCCUACCCAAGCCUACGAUCAGUAGCUGGUCUGAGAGGAUGAUCAGCCACAUUGGGACUGAGACACGGCCCAAACUCCUACGGGAGGCAGCAGUGGGGAAUAUUGGACAAUGGGCGCAAGCCUGAUCCAGCAAUGCCGCGUGGGUGAAGAAGGUCUUCGGAUUGUAAAGCCCUUUUGGCGGGGACGAUGAUGACGGUACCCGCAGAAUAAGCUCCGGCUAACUUCGUG